rnacentral:rRNA from 1 species
GACUCAGGACGAACGCUGGCGGCGUGCCUAACACAUGCAAGUCGAGCGAGGAGAUUCCUUCGGGAUGAUCCUAGCGGCGGACGGGUGAGUAACACGUGGGCAACCUGCCUCAUAGAGAGGAAUAGCCUUCCGAAAGGAGAUUAAUACCUCAUAACAUUGCAGUUUCGCAUGGAACAGCAAUUAAAGGAGUAAUCCGCUAUGAGAUGGGCCCGCGGCGCAUUAGCUAGUUGGUGAGGUAACGGCUCACCAAGGCGACGAUGCGUAGCCGACCUGAGAGGGUGAUCGGCCACAUUGGGACUGAGACACGGCCCAGACUCCUACGGGAGGCAGCAGUGGGGAAUAUUGCACAAUGGGGGAAACCCUGAUGCCAGCAACGCCGCGUGAGUGAUGACGGCCUUCGGGUUGUAAAGCUCUGUCUUCAGGGACGAUAAUGACGGUACCUGAGGAGGAAGCCACGGCUAACUACGUGCCAGCCGCCGC